CUCUGCAGAUAUCAGAUCAUAUUGGGGUUAAGUGCCUUGCUCAAGGGCACAUCAGCCAGCUGAUGGAGGGAGAGGGGAUACGCCACACCCAAGUUUGUCUGCCAGUCCAGUGGGGGAAUCAAACCGUAACAGCGAUGCUAGCCAUUCGACCGGGGACGGAGAGAAGAAGAUCUUACUGCAGUGGCUGAGGAAGCAGAUUGUGAAGCCGGGGUCCAAGAUGCACGCACUGCGGGCCUUCGAGCUGGGCCGGGACAGGGGGGUCAUUGCUGCUGCUCCUGCUGCUGCCUCCGUCGAGAUGGAGCACAAGAAGAUGACAUCAAAGACAAAGCACCUGGAGGGGGAGGCUGACAAGACAGUGUGUGUACAGCACUCAGCAUACUCCUGCCAACGUUUGAUAUGUCAGGUCAAAGAAAAGCAGGAAGACAAUGACUGACUCCCUGCAUUAAUACUGACGUGACAAUUCAAUGUUCUAUUGUACCAGGGCUGCCCUCUACCACCUCCACCUCCACCACCACCACCACCACCACCUCCAGUGCCUCCGCAGGAUCGACCAGGUGCACAAUCUACAGGAGGUAGAAGAGGGAGGAGAAGGACAGGGACGUCCCGUCCAAGGCCGAGGGCAGCACAUAGGAGAAGCCCGGAGCCCCCUGCGAUAUGUGCGGUGCCCCCAGAGGGCUGGAAAAAGGAUAUGGCUUCUACAGAGGGCAGUUUUUCUGUUGUCUGGAGGACUGGCCUGGGGGAAGACCACCACACCAGUGGCUGGAGGAGCAGCUCAGGCACAAUGAGGGGAA